rnacentral:rRNA from 1 species
GCCGUAACUUCGGGAGAAGGCACGCUGACACGUAGGUGAAGUGAUUUACUCAUGGAGCUGAAGUCAGUCGAAGAUACCAGCUGGCUGCAACUGUUUAUUAAAAACACAGCACUGUGCAAACACGAAAGUGGACGUAUACGGUGUGACGCCUGCCCGGUGCCGGAAGGUUAAUUGAUGGGGUCAGCGCAAGCGAAGCUCCUGAUCGAAGCCCCGGUAAACGGCGGCCGUAACUAUAACGGUCCUAAGGUAGCGAAAUUCCUUGUCGGGUAAGUUCCGACCUGCACGAAUGGCGUAAUGAUGGCCAGGCUGUCUCCACCCGAGACUCAGUGAAAUUGAACUCGCUGUGAAGAUGCAGUGUACCCGCGGCAAGACGGAAAGACCCCGUGAACCUUUACUAUAGCUUGACACUGAACAUUGAGCCUUGAUGUGUAGGAUAGGUGGGAGGCUUUGAAGUGUGGACGCCAGUCUGCAUGGAGCCGACCUUGAAAUACCACCCUUUAAUGUUUGAUGUUCUAACGUGGACCCGUGAUCCGGGUUGCGGACAGUGUCUGGUGGGUAGUUUGACUGGGGCGGUCUCCUCCUAAAGAGUAACGGAGGAGCACGAAGGUUGGCUAAUCCUGGUCGGACAUCAGGAGGUUAGUGCAAUGGCAUAAGCCAGCUUGACUGCGAGCGUGACGGCGCGAGCAGGUGCGAAAGCAGGUCAUAGUGAUCCGGUGGUUCUGAAUGGAAGGGCCAUCGCUCAACGGAUAAAAGGUACUCCGGGGAUAACAGGCUGAUACCGCCCAAGAGUUCAUAUCGACGGCGGUGUUUGGCACCUCGAUGUCGGCUCAUCACAUCCUGGGGCUGAAGUAGGUCCCAAGGGUAUGGCUGUUCGCCAUUUAAAGUGGUACGCGAGCUGGGUUUAGAACGUCGUGAGACAGUUCGGUCCCUAUCUGCCGUGGGCGCUGGAGAACUGAGGGGGGCUGCUCCUAGUACGAGAGGACCGGAGUGGACGCAUCACUGGUGUUCGGGUUGUCAUGCCAAUGGCACUGCCCGGUAGCUAAAUGCGGAAGAGAUAAGUGCUGAAAGCAUCUAAGCACGAAACUUGCCCCGAGAUGAGUUCUCCCUGAGACUUUAGGUCUCCUGAAGGAACGUUGAAGACGACGACGUUGAUAGGCCGGGUGUGUAAGCGCAGCGAUGCGUUGAGCUAACCGGUACUAAUGAACCGUGAGGCUUAACCUUACA